AAAAAAAAGGAGAGAAAAAGAUAUAAAGGUAUUUUGGUCAGUUUGUUGAAAAUUAGAACCGAAUCUGCAAAAUCGAAAAAGGCGGCUCAGUUUUACAAAUGCUCAAAACGUAUGGAUUGCUUAUGCAAAUUGGCCAUAUACAUACAAUAUAUAGUCAGGCUGGGAUACUAUCGAUAGCACCAUACAUUUUGUGCUAUCAAAUUUUCCGCCGUUAGGGCCCACAUCAUCAUAACCGUAUAUUUUUUAAUCCAAGGACCGAAAAUCUAAUAACACCAAAUGCUUUGUGCUAUUGAUAGUAUUCCAGCAUAU
rnacentral:lncRNA from 1 species